rnacentral:rRNA from 1 species
ACGGGGAGCACCACAACGGGUGGAGCUUGCGGUUUAAUUCGGAUUCAACGCCGGAAAUCUUACCGGGACCGACAGCAAUAUGAAGGCCAGGCUGAAGACUUUGCCGGAUUAGCUGAGAGGUGGUGCAUGGCCGUCGUCAGUUCGUACUGUGAAGCAUCCUGUUAAGUCAGGCAACGAGCGAGACCCACGCCCACAGUUGCCAGCGUACUCUCUGGAGUGACGGGUACACUGUGGGACCGCCGCUGCUAAAGCGGAGGAAGGAAUGGGCAACGGUAGGUCAGUAUGCCCCGAAUAUCCCGGGCUACACGCGAGCUACAAUGGUUGGUACAAUGGGUAUCUACCCCGAAAGGGGACGGGAAUCUCCUAAAACCAAUCUUAGUUCGGAUUGAGGGCUGCAACUCGCCCUCAUGAAGCUGGAAUCCGUAGUAAUCGCGUUUCAACAGAACGCGGUGAAUACGUCCCUGCUCCUU